ensembl:snRNA U6 U6 spliceosomal RNA
AUGGUCAUUGCAACUACACACAUACUAAAAUAGUAAUGUUAAUUAGUGAAAAUUAACAUGGUCCUUGGACAAGGAUGACAUGCAAAUUUGUAAAGCUUUCAAUAUUUAU